rnacentral:rRNA from 1 species
CCAAUAGCGUAUAUUAAAGUUGUUGCAGUUAAAAAGCUCGUAGUUGAAUUUCGGGAUCAAUACGUCGGUCGUGCCUUUGGUACGUACUGGCGUCAUUGGUUUUUCCUUUCUGACGAACCAUGAUGUCAUUAGUUUGGUGUUAUGGGAAGUUAGGACUGUUACUUUGAAAAAAUUAGAGUGUUUAAAGCAGGCUUACGCUUGAAUACAUUAGCAUGGAAUAAUGAAAUAGGACGUUCGAUCCUAUUUUGUUGGUUUCUAGGAUCGACGUAAUGAUUAAUAGGGAUAGUUGGGGGCAUUAGUAUUCAAUUGUCAGAGGUGAAAUUCUUGGAUUUAUUGAAGACUAACUACUGCGAAAGCAUUUGCCAAGGAUGUUUUCAUUAAUCAAGAACGAAAGUUAGGGGAUCGAAGACGAUCAGAUACCGUCGUAGUCUUAACCAUAAACUAUGCCGACUAGGGAUCGGAUGAUGUUAAUUUUAUAAUGACUCAUUCGGCGCCUUAC